UACAGUAAACUUCAGAUAAAGAGAUCAGACUCAGAACAACCCAGUUGUGUCUCCAUGAAGAGUGAUGGGUCUAUGGAGCCUCCUAGGAACUUUAAACAAGGAAACUCCUCGUACAGACACAGUAAACACCAGAAAAAGAGAACAUCACAACCCAGCUGUGUCUCCAUGAAGAGUGAUUGGUCUAUGGAGCCUCCUAGGAACUUUAAACGUGGAGACUCCUUAUCUGUACACAGUAAACCGCAGGUAAAGAGAUCAGACUCAUCAGCACCCACUUGUGUCUCCAUGAAGAGUGAUGGGUCUAUGGAGCCUCCUAAUAACUUUAAAAGUGGAGACUCCCCAUCUGUACACAGAUUUUUUUCCCCCAGGAAUUUACAGAGGGCAGGAGAUAGAAAAGGAAAGAACAUCAUCACAGAUACAGGACACGACCCAGAAUCUGCUGCCUUAAAUAAAUUCCAGAAGACGUUCAGAUUAAAUCUGAUGAAGAAGUUUGAGUGUCUAAAUGACGUGAUAAUAAAUCAGGAAAACCGAACACUCCUGAAUGAGAUCUACACAGAGCUCUACAUCACAGAGGGAGACAGUGGAGACAUCAAUAAAGAACAUGAAGUGAGACAGAUGGAGGCAGCAUUCAGGAAAAGAACAUCAGAGGAAACACCAAUCAAAUGCAAUGACAUCUUUAAGUCCUUAUCUGAUCAAGACAAACCCAUCAGAACUGUUCUGACAAAGGGAGUUGCUGGCAUCGGAAAAACAGUCUCUGUGCAGAAGUUCAUUCUGGACUGGGCUGAAGGGAAAACAAAUCAGGACGUCCACCUUAUAUUUCCACUUCCUUUCAGAGAGCUAAAUCUGAUGAAGGAGCAGAAACUGAGUCUGAUGGAGCUCCUUCAUGUCUUUUUUAAAGAAACAAAAGAAAUAGAAAUGUCCAGUUUGGAAAAGGUUCUGUUAAUUUUUGAUGGAUUGGACGAGUGUCGUUUCUCUCUAGAUUUCCAAAACACAGUGAGUGUGUGUGAUGUAACUAAAUCAGCAUCAGUGCCUGUGCUGCUGAUAAACCUGAUCAAAGGGAAUCUGCUUCCCUCUGCUCUCAUCUGGAUCACCUCCCGACCAGCAGCAGCUGAUCAAAUCCCCUCUGAGUGUGUCGAUCGAUUCACAGAGGUACGAGGGUUCAAUGACCCACAGAAGGAGGUGUACUUCAGGAAGAGGAUCAGUGAUCAGAGCCUGGCCAAUGACAUCAUCACACACCUGAAGUCAUUAAGAAGCCUCUACAUCAUGUGUCACAUCCCAGUCUUCUGCUGGAUUUCAGCUGCUGUUCUAGAGAGAAUGUUGGGUGAAGCAGAGAGUGGAGAGAUCCCCAAGACUCUGACUGAAAUGUACACACACUUCCUCAUCAUUCAGAUAAACAUCAUAAGAGAAAAGUACUCAGAGAAGCAGGAGAGUGAUGAAGAAAUGCUUCUCAAACUGGGACGACUGGCUUUUGAGCAGCUGGAGAAACACAACCUGAUCUUCUAUGAAGAAGACCUGAGAGAGUGUGGCAUUGAUGUGAGAGAAGCAGCAGUGUACUCAGGUGUGUGUACGCAGAUCUUCAGAGAGGAGUUUGGGCUUCACCAGAGUAAAGUGUACUGCUUUGUUCAUCUGAGUAUUCAGGAGCAUCUCGCAGCUCUGUAUGUGCACCUGAUGUUCAUGAGGGAAAAGAGAAAUGUUCUUAAAAAGAAUCAGAUUUGUAAACCAGAGAUUGCAUAUGAUUUAGACAUGCGUUUUAAAUCAGAAAUGUUCUCUGAACCUGAGAUAAUUUCAGAAUUGGCAAAUUCGAUUAAAACAAAAAAGUCCUUUGAUUCGGGGGAGUCCUUUAAUUCGGGGGAGUCCUUUGAUUCGGGGGAGUCCUUUGAUUCGGGGGAGUCCUUUGAUUCGGGGGAGUUAUCUGAAUCUACGAUGCACAUUAGUGCAAUAACCCGUGCCUUAAACAGUGAGACUGGACAUCUGGAUCUUUUCCUCCGCUUUCUUCUGGGUCUCUCACUGGAGUCCAAUCAGAAACUCUUACAUGACUUAGUAACACAGACAGGAAGUAGCUCACAGAGCAAAGAGGAAACAGUUCAGUACAUUAAGAUGAUGAUCAGUGAAGAUCUACCUACAGAGAAAUUAAUCAAUCUGUUCCACUGUCUGAAUGAACUGGGUGAUGAUUCUCUAGUGGAGGAAAUCCAACACUACCUAAAAUCUGGAAAACAAAGUAGACUCUCUCCUUCACAUUGGUCUGCUCUGGUGUUUGUGUUACUGACAUCAGCAGAGGAUCUGGAGGAAUUUGACCUGAAUAAAUAUAUCAGUCCAGAGAAGAUAACAGAUGAGGUUCUUGUGAGGGUGAUGCCUGUGAUUGCAGAAUCCAGAAAAGCAAUUAUCAGGUGUGAUAGAAUUAAAUUGAGAAGUGCUGAAGCUCUGGUCUCAGUGCUCAACUCAGAAACCUCCAAUCUGAGAGAACUGCAUCUGACUGUGAAGACACUGGACCUGUCUGAUAAUAAACUAACAGACUCAGGAGUGAAGCGUCUCUGUGCUGUACUGGAGAAUCCUGACUGUAAAGUAGAGACACUGUGGUUGCGUGUGUGUGAUGUCUUAGAUGAAGGCUGGGCUGCUCUGACUUCAGCUCUGAGAUCAAACCCCUCACACCUGAGAGAACUGAGUCUGUUUGGGAAUAAUAAUCUAGGAGACUCAGGAGUGAAGUGUGUCUCUGCUGUACUGGAGAAUCCUGACUGUAAACUGGAGACACUGAAGUUGUAUAAUUGUGGUGUCUCAGAUGAAGGCUGUGCUGCUCUGACUUCAGCUCUGAGAUCAAACCCCUCACACCUGAGAGAACUGAAUCUGUCUAAUAAUCGAAGAGACUCAGGAUUGAAUGGUUACAGUUUUAGCGAGGAGGAUUUUCACUGUAAACUGGAGAAACUGUGGUAAGAUCAUCUCUCUGAGAGUCACAUGACCUGCUCCUCAGUAAGACACAUUCUCUAAUAGUGAGACUGAAGCAGAGGUUUGACCAGCUCAUAUGUAAAUAAAACUGAUAUAUUACACUUCUAACAAUAACUUAAAGAUUCUACAUUAUUAGAUAAUUAAUUAAAUGUCUUGGAGUCAGAUAUUUAAAUCACAAAGUUAAACACACAUUUAACCUUCAGCUGACCUUGUACCCCAUUGUGGUACUUGUUACUGUACAAAAGUCAUCUUCGCUUUUACAGUACUUAUGUACAUGUGUCUAAGUACACAGUACUGUACUGUAUUUUAUUUACUGUAAAAUUGUAUUAAGUAAUAAAUGAUUAGUCAGUAAUAUUAUUUAUUACAGACAUGAGUUUUGAUUCUCCUCAAAAGUAACACUUCAGGCCUAAAAUUAGUAUGACUUGGUUUAAAUUAAUGAUUGUGUUUGUUUUUCACCCUGAUUCAGACUACUUCCUUGAUUCUGCAGUAAUAUAAAUCUAUAGUGUUAUAUAAAUGUCUAGUGUAAUUAAACAAAGGUUAUGGAGAAACAAGUUUAUUGUCCCUGUAUAGUGCACUAUAAGUCUGUUAGAGAACCAUUUUGUAGACUCACCAUCUUAAAACUAAAAUAAUAAACCAAGAUGUAAAUGUGUUGAUGAAGUGUGUGUCAUUGUGUCUCUGCAGGUUGAAGGAGGGUUGGUUAUCAUUUAGACACUGGCCUGCUCUGACUUCAGCUCUGGGAUCAAACCCCUCACACCUGAGAGAACUGAAUCUGUCUAAUAAACUAGGAGACUCAGGAGUGAAGUGUCUCUCUGCUGUACUGGAGAAUCCUGACUGUAAACUGGAGAAACUAACGUUGCGUGGUUGUGGUGUCUCAGAUGAAGGCUGGGCUGCUCUGACUUCAGCUCUGAGAUCAAACCCCUCACACCUGAGAGAACUGAAUCUGUCUUAUAAUAAUCUAGGAGACUCAGGAGUGAAGUGUGUCUCUGCUGU